rnacentral:lncRNA from 1 species
AACCAUUAAUACAAAAGACAUGGAGGAUCUAAUAGCUACAAGGAGGCAUGUUAUGCAGCUUCAGAGAGAGCAAUGCAACCGUAGGAUGGGCUUCCGUGGCAUAUAGAUGCACAUUUCAGAUUUUUAUCAUCCUGUAACAUUAGAUCUUGAUGGAAACCAAGUAGAGGAUGCUCAAGCCCAUAAAGUCCAAGCCCAACAAGGGGCCAAGCCCAUCAAGGAGCCCAAGCCCAACGAAUUACUAGGAGCAUGGCAAGAGCUUUGGAACAAGAGUAUAAUAAGAUGGCUCUUCUUAUUUCUUUUGUAGAAUAGGGGUCUGGAUGUAAUAAAAAAGGUGUAAGUAGUAAGGGAGUCUAGGGAGAGUGUAGAUAGGAGAUUAGGAGGUGCCAAACUAGGAAGGAAAGUCACACUUCCUUCAUUGUCUAGAUUGGCGCCGAAUUUCAUUACAUUUGUGAGUCAUUUAGCUUGCAUUUUCAGCACCUCAUAGGCUAUAAAUAAGGUGCUUCUCUUUGUAUUUUUCAGAUUGGAAUUUUAUAGUAGAGAGACUAUACUCAAAUUUGGAGAGAAAUUGUGAGUCUUGAGUCUUCUUCUUCCUUUGCCUUAUCUUGUGAGCUAUGGUGAGCUUCAAGUGGCGGCAUUCCAUCACUUAUCUUGGGUCAAGGAACCAAGUGGCGUGAAGUGUCUUCCAAUUCUUAAAAUCCAGCAAGCUUCUUCUAUAAGUGUUCUUCUUCCUUCAUGUUCUUUCAAUUUCAUUCGGCAAUUUUUAAUUUCCUAGUCUUUCCUUUCAUUUGCACCGUUUAAUUCUGUUUUUCCAGCUUUGUUUCUUUAUUUUGGUUCGGUUCAGUAGCUUAGUUUUUCAUUUCUGUCCAGUUUUCAAUUCUUGUUCUUCAUUCCUUGUGUUUUGAUUCCAUUUGACAAUAUAUGGACUUCCAUAUGAGUCUUGGUUGGUGCUAAGUCUUGGUGAGUUUUUGAAUUAGAACAUUGAUCCAAUUCUAAAGUAAGGUGUCAUUUAUGACCAACUCAAGUUGCUGCUAAGAAUGUCAAAGAAUGAUGUAUUUUUGUAGUUGCAUUCUCAUCAUAUCUUCACAAUAUUUUAUACCAACCUUCAUUGGAGGUGUUUGUCUUAUAAGGUUUGUUUUGAUUUUGAAUUAAAAAUCGUCAAAUCAGAUAAUAAAA